GCAAGUGGAAAGAUGUUUUAAUUAAAAACAUGGGGGAAAAAGGAAAAAACCCAAUUCUGGGUCUUGUGGGUCGCGAACAGAAGGCAGGAAAGGAGAAACCCUUCUCCUUCAAUUGAGUUCAAGAAAUUCAGCCAAUUGAAGCCCUAAUCGUAGUUGUAUUCAUGCAUGUCAAUGAUUUCUUGGUCAUCUAGCCCUAACAAAUACAUGAAUAUGAACCACACUAGCAUGGACCAAGCAUGGAAGGCUAACGGGUCAAGAUGAGGCAAGGAAGCGGGUAUGAACACGGAUGCACAAAGAACGAGUACAUCGGAUUCUUACGAAAUUUAAGCCCAACCCGGAAUAAGAGGAUGAGUAAGGAUAGUUGGGUGAACUAAUGUUAAAUUGCCGAACGUUAUUCAAUCCUUAAUUAUAUGAGAUUAAUAUUAUAUGAUGUUGUCGUUGAUUAAUGGCUAAGUUGUAUGUGAUGCCCACAGGUGAUACACGGACUUCUUCUGCUACUUAGGAAGUGAAGCGGACGUAGAUCGAGUCAAGAGCAAGGAUUGCACGGAUAGAUCGACCAUAUAGUUGAAAUAUAUAACGUCUAGAAAUGUAAAAUUUAGUAUGAAUGUUGUGAAUUCUUUUAUAGAACGUUUAACAUUUUAGCUUUUGGAACCUUCUCGAAAGUAAUGUCGUUAAUAAGGAAAGAAAUUUUAAAGCUC